rnacentral:rRNA from 1 species
AUACGCUGGCGGCGUGCCUAAUACAUGCAAGUCGAACGGGAUUCUUUGAUCAGCUUGCUGAGAGAAGGAUCUAGUGGCGGACGGGUGAGUAACGCGUGGGAAUCUGCCUCUUACUGGGGGAUAACAGUGGGAAACUACUGCUAAUACCGCAUAAGAUCUUCGGAUGAAAGGUGCAACUGCACCGGUAAGAGAUGAGCCCGCGUCCCAUUAGCUAGUUGGUGGGGUAACGGCCUACCAAGGCGAUGAUCAGUAGCCGGUCUGAGAGGGUGAACGGCCACAUUGGGACUGAGACACGGCCCAAACUCCUACGGGAGGCAGCAGUGGGGAAUAUUCCGCAAUGGACGAAAGUCUGACGGAGCAACGCCGCGUGAGUGAUGAAGGUUUUCGGACUGUAAAACUCUGUUGUUUAGGACGAAAGUGCCUGUUGCAAAUAGUUGCAGGUAUUGACGGUACUGAACGAGGAAGCCACGGCUAACUACGUG